rnacentral:rRNA from 1 species
UUUUUUUUAAGAGUUUGAUCCUAGCUCAGGAUGAACGCUGGCGGCGUGGAUAAGGCAUGCAAGUCGAAUGCAUUUAGUUGCAUGGCAGACGAGGUAGUAACACGUAGGAAUGUACCCCAAAGUUGGGAAUAACCCAUCGAAAGAUGGAAUAAUGCCCAAUAGUCUCUCAGGAGUAAAGAUUUAUCGCUUUGGGAACAGCCUGCGGAAUAUCAGCUUGUUGGUAAGGUAAUGGCUUACCAAGGCUAUGACGUUUAGGGGAGGUGAGAGCCUGACCCCCACCGAUGGUACUGAGACACGGACCAUACACCUACGGGUGGCCGCAGUCGAGAAUCUUCCGCAAUGGGCGAAAGCCUGACGGAGCGACGCCGCGUGAUUGAUGAAGUUCUUAGGAAUGUAAAGAUCUUUUAUAGAGGAGGAAAUUUUUGACGUUACUCUAUGAAUAAGGGGCUCCUAAUCUCGUGCCAGCAGGAGCGGUAAUACGAGAGCCCCGAGCGUUAUCCGGAAUCACUGGGCGUAAAGGGUGUGUAGGUGGUAGUGUUAGUCUUUUGUUAAAUCCUCGGGCCCAACCUGAGAACCGCAAAAGAAACGGCACUACUAGAGAAUGUGAGGGGUGUACGGAACUCAUGGUGUAGGGGUGAAAUCCGUUGAUAUCAUGGGGAACACCAAAAGCGAAGGCAGUACACUGGCACAUUUCUGACACUGAGACACGAAAGCGUGGGUAGCGAAUGGGAUUAGAUACCCCAGUAGUCCACGCCCUAAACGAUGUUCUCUAAUCUUUCGGAGUAUCGACCCUCUGAGAGGUGUAGCUAACGCGUUAAGAGAACCGCCUGGGAAGUACGAUCGCAAGAUUAAAACUCAAAGGAAUAGACGGGGACUUGCACAAGCAGUGGAUUAUGUGGUUUAAUUCGACGAUAAACGAAGAACCUUACCAAGGCUAGAAAUCUAGACGAAAGCCCUGAGAAACCAGGGCCCUUUUCGAACGGCUAGACAGGUGAUGCAUGGCCGUCGUCAGUUCGUGAUUUGAAUUGUUCCCUUAAGUGGGGUAACGAACGCAACCCUCGUCGUCUGUUAUACGUGUCAGACGAGACUGCUCAGCCUUUUGUUCAUAAACAAAUAUUGUUUGUGGCUAAAAGGCUGAGAGGAAGGAGAGGAUGACGCCAGGUCAGCAUGUCCCUUGAUGCCUUGGGCUACACACAUAAUACAAUGGUCACUACAACGGGUCGCGACGUGGUAACACUGAGCCAAUCCUAAUAAAGGUGACCCCAGUUCGGAUUGAGGUCUGAAACUCGACCUCAUGAAGUCGGAAUUGCUAGUAAUCGCGGGUCAGCUAAACCGCGGUGAAUACGUUCUCAAGUCUUGUACUCACCGCCCGUCAAUUCAAGGGAUCCGGGAGUGCCCGAAGUCUCUACAUUCGUAGGGCCUACGGUAAGCUCGGUAACAGGGAAUAAGUCGUAACAAGGCACGGCUAGCGGAAGCUG